rnacentral:rRNA from 1 species
AUGAACGCUAGCUACAGGCUUAACACAUGCAAGUCGAGGGGAAACGACAUCGAAAGCUUGCUUUUGAUGGGUGUCGACCGGCGCACGGGUGAGUAACGCGUAUCCAACCUGCCCACCACUUGGGGAUAACCUUGCGAAAGUAAGACUAAUACCCAAUGAUAUCUCUAGAAGACAUCUGAAAGAGAUUAAAGAUUUAUCGGUGAUGGAUGGGGAUGCGUCUGAUUAGCUUGUUGGCGGGGUAACGGCCCACCAAGGCAACGAUCAGUAGGGGUUCUGAGAGGAAGGUCCCCCACAUUGGAACUGAGACACGGUCCAAACUCCUACGGGAGGCAGCAGUGAGGAAUAUUGGUCAAUGGACGAGAGUCUGAACCAGCCAAGUAGCGUGCAGGAAGACGGCCCUAUGGGUUGUAAACUGCUUUUAUAAGGGAAUAAAGUGAGUCUCGUGAGACUUUUUGCAUGUACCUUAUGAAUAAGGACCGGCUAAUUCCGUGCCAGCAGCCGCGGUAAUACGGAAGGUCCGGGCGUUAUCCGGAUUUAUUGGGUUUAAAGGGAGCGUAGGCCGGAGAUUAAGCGUGUUGUGAAAUGUAGAUGCUCAACAUCUGAACUGCAGCGCGAACUGGUUUCCUUGAGUACGCACAAAGUGGGCGGAAUUCGUGGUGUAGCGGUGAAAUGCUUAGAUAUCACGAAGAACUCCGAUUGCGAAGGCAGCUCACUGGAGCGCAACUGACGCUGAAGCUCGAAAGUGCGGGUAUCGAACAGGAUUAGAUACCCUGGUAGUCCGCACGGUAAACGAUGGAUGCCCGCUGUUGGUCUGAAUAGGUCAGCGGCCAAGCGAAAGCAUUAAGCAUCCCACCUGGGGAGUACGCCGGCAACGGUGAAACUCAAAGGAAUUGACGGGGACCCGCACAAGCGGUGGAGCAUGUGGUUUAAUUCGAAGCAACGCGAAGAACCUUACCAAAUCUUGACAUCCUUUGACAACUCUAGAGAUAGAGCCUUCCCCUUCGGGGGACAAAGUGACAGGUGGUGCAUGGUUGUCGUCAGCUCGUGCCGUGAGGUGUCGGCUUAAGUGCCAUAACGAGCGCAACCCCUCUCCUUAGUUGCCAUCAGGUUAAGCUGGGCACUCUGGGGACACUGCCACCGUAAGGUGUGAGGAAGGUGGGGAUGACGUCAAAUCAGCACGGCCCUUACGUCCGGGGCUACACACGUGUUACAAUGGCAGGUACAGAGAGACGGUCCCUUGCAAAAUGGAUCAAAUCCUUAAAGCCUGUCUCAGUUCGGACUGGGGUCUGCAACCCGACCCCACGAAGCUGGAUUCGCUAGUAAUCGCGCAUCAGCCAUGGCGCGGUGAAUACGUUCCCGGGCCUUGUACACACCGCCCGUCAAGCCAUGAAAGCCGGGGGCGCCUAAAGUCCGUGACCGUAAGGAGCGGCCUAGGGCGAAACUGGUAAUUGGGGCU